rnacentral:rRNA from 1 species
UCGAGAAUCUUCGGCAAUGGGCGCCAGCCUGACCGAGCGACGCCGCGUGGAGGACGAAGGCCUUCGGGUUGUAAACUCCUGUCGAGGGGGAACAAGGGCGGCGGAGAGCCGCCUUGAGUGAUCCCUGGAGGAAGCACGGGCUAAGUUCGUGCCAGCAGCCGCGGUAAGACGAACCGUGCGAACGUUAUUCGGAAUCACUGGGCUUAAAGCGCGUGUAGGCGGGCCGGCACGUCGGACGCUGAAAUCCCCCGGCUCAACCGGGGAACGGGCGCCGAUACGACCGGCCUGGAGGGGGGUAGGGGGAGCCGGAACUUCCGGUGGAGCGGUGAAAUGCGUUGAGAUCGGAAGGAACGCCCGUGGCGAAAGCGGGCUCCUGGACCCCACCUGACGCUGAGACGCGAAAGCCAGGGGAGCGAACG